rnacentral:rRNA from 1 species
AACGAACGCUGGCGGCGUGCCUAACACAUGCAAGUCGAACGAGAAAGUCCUUCGGGAUGAGUAGAGUGGCGCACGGGGGAGUAAGGAAUAGGAAAGUACCUUUUGGUGGGGGACAACCACGGGAAACCGUGGCUAAUACCGCAUAAGAUUGAGAGAUGAAAGAAGGCCUCUGAAUGUAAGCUUUCGCCGAUAGAACUGCCUAUUUCCCAUUAGCUAGUUGGUAGGGUAAAGGCCUACCAAGGCGACGAUGGGUAGCUGGUCUGAGAGGACGAUCAGCCACACUGGAACUGAGACACGGUCCAGACUCCUACGGGAGGCAGCAGUGGGGAAUUUUGCACAAUAGGCGCAAGCCUGAUGCAGCAACGCCGCGUGAGUGAAGAAGGCCCUUGGGUUGUAAAGCUCUUUCGGAUGGGGAGAAGGAGAGCAGAGUUAAUACCUCUGUUUUUUGACGGUACCGUCAGAAGAAGCACCGGCUAAUUCCGUGCCAGCAGCCGCGGUAA